rnacentral:rRNA from 1 species
AUGAAACACUCCUACGGGAGGCAGCAGUGGGGAAUUUUGGACAAUGGGCGAAAGCCUGAUCCAGCCAUGCCGCGUGAGUGAAGAAGGCCUUCGGGUUGUAAAGCUCUUUUAGUCGGAAAGAAAGAGUUGCAAUGAAUAAUUGUGAUUUAUGACGGUACCGACAGAAAAAGCACCGGCUAACUACGUGCCAGCAGCCGCGGUAAUACGUAGGGUGCGAGCGUUAAUCGGAAUUACUGGGCGUAAAGGGUGCGCAGGCGGUCUUGCAAGUCAGAUGUGAAAGCCCCGGGCUUAACCUGGGAAUUGCGUUUGAAACUACAAGGCUAGAGUGCAGCAGAGGGGAGUGGAAUUCCAUGUGUAGCAGUGAAAUGCGUAGAGAUGUGGAAGAACACCGAUGGCGAAGGCAGCUCCCUGGGUUGACACUGACGCUCAUGCACGAAAGCGUGGGGAGCAAACAGGAUUAGAUACCCUAGUAGUCCGAAGUUC